AUACGGAGGAUGCGAGCGUUAUCCGGAUUUAUUGGGUUUAAAGGGAGCGUAGGUGGGAUAUUAAGUCAGCUGUGAAAGUUUGGGGCUCAACCUUAAAAUUGCAGUUGAUACUGGUUUCCUUGAGUACGGUAUAGGUGGGCGGAAUUCGUGGUGUAGCGGUGAAAUGCUUAGAUAUCACGAAGAACUCCGAUCGCGAAGGCAGCUCACCGGGCCGCAACUGACACUGAUGCUCGAAAGUGCGGGUAUCAAACAGGAUUAGAUACCCUGGUAGUCCGCACAGUAAACGAUGAAUACUCGCUGUUUGCGAUACACUGUAAGCGGCCGAGCGAAAGCGUUAAGUAUUCCACCUGGGGAGUACGCCGGCAACGGUGAAACUCAAAUGAAUUGACGGGG
rnacentral:rRNA from 1 species